rnacentral:rRNA from 1 species
UACGUAGGGGGCUAGCGUUGUCCGGAAUCAUUGGGCGUAAAGAGUGUGUAGGCGGUCCGGUAAGUCCGCUGUGAAAGUCGGGGGCUCAACCCUCGAAUGCCGGUGGAUACUGUCGGGCUAGAGUGCGGAAGAGGCGAGUGGAAUUCCUGGUGUAGCGGUGAAAUGCGCAGAUAUCAGGAGGAACACCUAUUGCGAAGGCAGCUCGCUGGGACGUAACUGACGCUGAGAACGCGAAAGCGUGGGGGAGCAAACAGG